ACGGCGGAACCACCAGCUCCCUCUGGUCUGUGCGGAGCAGCUGCCUCUCAACACAGUCGCUCCACUGGGCCCAGCAGCGCCCUGAGAGAGAGAGGUGGGUCAACACAGUAAUCCACCCAGGAACCUUGAACUUGACACAUGCAGGUACCUUCUGGUUUGGGGUUUCUAGAAGAAAUGGGUCAUUGUUAAGAAAAUUGGCUCCAAAUAGAGAUUUUGAUUUAUUUUUUUCCAGUUCACUUUCAGGUUGCAGGAAUGGUGCUACAGAAAGAUGCUUCUGGGAAAAGGACCCUUGCUUCACCCAAACUCUAAGCAAACCUGCAGGGUUUGUUGGCUUGUUUUGCAUCAGUGACUUGCACUGAUAGUGCCUCUUCUGGUUGCCUGCCUUUAAGGCCACUGCUCUUCACACCUCCCAUUUCCAUGGAAUUCACCAUCUCUGGCACAUACAAGGCACACAAAAUGUUAAGCAUGAAUAAUCCUGGUGUGAAGGUUAAGAACAGCAAAAGCUGACUGCUGUCCAUUGCUUCAUGAUGAGAUAAGAUGGUUGAGAACUCUAAGACUACCUACCACAUGCCCACUGGAAGCAAGAAGCAGCUGGACAGUGAGACACCCUCCACAGUUGGCACCCCACCUUCCUCCCCAGAACAGUCUGUGCAAGAGAUGGCCACAGUGUAAGGUGUGGAGUGGGAUGGAUCACCAGGUGGUUCUUGGAGACUGGAAGGAGCUGUGAACACAGUGGGGAUGGAUGUCAAACAUUGGUGGUGUUUAUAAGGUCACCAAAGGGCAGAGUCAUAGCAUCUGCCCGUCUCUGGAAAUAAUUUAGGGACACAUAGCAAACAUUCAGGUCAUAGGAAACAGGUCAGAAGCAAAACCGUCAUGGUUGCCACUGGCCCAGAGAUACUGCUUUUGCAGGGCAUGGACUGCAGUUUCCCGAAACACAUUCUCCUCUAGAAAUGAUGGAAGAGAUCCAAGUGCGCCUGCUCACGUCCAGUGAUUCUCCAUGGGGGUGAUUCUGCUCUCUAGGGCGCAGUUGGCAGUGACUGGAGACAUUUGUAGUGGGUCCAGGCCAGGGAUUCUGCUAAACAUCCCGUGACGCACAGGACUGUCCCAACAACAAAGAAUUAUCUGGUUCCAAA